UACGUAGGCAGCGAGCGUUGUUCGGAGUUACUGGGCGUAAAGGGUGUGUAGGCGGUUGUUUAAGUUUGGUGUGAAAUCUCCCGGCUCAACUGGGAGGGUGCGCCGAAUACUGAAUGACUAGAGUGUGGGAGAGGUGAGUGGAAUUCCUGGUGUAGCGGUGAAAUGCGUAGAUAUCAGGAGGAACACCGGUGGUGUAGACGGCUCACUGGACCAUAACUGACGCUGAGACACGAAAGCGUGGGUAGCAAACAGGG
rnacentral:rRNA from 1 species